UGGGGAAUAUUGGGCAAUGGGCGCAAGCCUGACCCAGCAACGCCGCGUGAAGGAAGAAGGCUUUCGGGUUGUAAACUUCUUUUCUCAGGGACGAAGCAAGUGACGGUACCUGAGGAAUAAGCCACGGCUAACUACGUGCCAGCAGCCGCGGUAAUACGUAGGUGGCAAGCGUUAUCCGGAUUUACUGGGUGUAAAGGGCGUGUAGGCGGGAAAGCAAGUCAGAUGUGAAAACCAUGGGCUCAACCUGUGGCCUGCAUUUGAAACUGUUUUCUUGAGUACUGGAGAGGCAGACGGAAUUCCUAGUGUAGCGGUGAAAUGCGUAGAUAUUGGGAGGAACACCAGUGGCGAAGGCGGUCUGCUGGACAGCAACUGACGCUGAGGCGCGAAAGCGUGGGGAGCAAACAGGAUUAGAUACCC
rnacentral:rRNA from 1 species